UGCGGGCGCGCACAAGGAGGACAGGCGUCUUGCAAAGUGUGUGUUGCCAAGAGCUGAGCAGUGAAAGCUAACCAUUUAGUUAGCCAGGAGAACCCUUACUCCCCCUUAAACAGCAUGACUGCAGCUUGAAGAAUUACUUCCCCGGUACUUUUUUUUCUUUUUUUCUUAGAAUCCAUAUCAAAGCUUGGAGAUGAUUUAUUCUUUGAGGAUCAACAUUGAUAAAUAUUUGGAAGAGAUAUACCCGUGAUACAAAAAAAUAAAAAAAGAGCAAAAUUGAUUUAAAAAAA